GACGAACGCUGGCGGCGUGCUUAACACAUGCAAGUCGAACGGAAAGGCCCUGCUUUUGUGGGGUGCUCGGGUGGCGAACGGGUGAGUAACACGUGAGUAACCUGCCCUUGACUUUGGGGUAGCUUCAGGAAAGUGGGGCUAAUACCGGAUAGGAGCUGCUGCUGCAUGGUGGGGGUUGGAAAGUUUCGGCGGUAGGGGAUGGACGGGCGGCUUAUCAGCUUGUUGGUCGGGUAGUGGCUUACCAAGGCUGUGACGGGUAGCCGGCCUGAGAGGGUGACCGGCCACAUUGGGACUGCGAUACGGCCCAGACUCCUACGGGAGGCAGCAGUGGGGAAUAUUGCACAAUGGGCGGAAGCCUGAUGCAGCAACGCCGCGUGCGGGAUGACGGCCUUCGGGUUGUAAACCGCUUUCGCCUGUGACGAAGCGUGAGUGACGGUAAUGGGUAAAGAAGCACCGGCUAACUACGUG
rnacentral:rRNA from 1 species